CGCUGAUUAGAGAAUUAAACGUACACAAAUCAGGCGCAAAUCCUUUUAUGUCAUCAUCUCGAAAAACUUCUUUGCUCCUUCAACAUCCCCCCUCGAACAAUAAUCAUGAAUCACAGUGUUAUACGAUAUUAAAUUCGGCUUAACCCCUAAACACUGCAUGUUUUCAAUGAACUCCUUUGCCUUCUUCAACUUGCCUUCUUUACAUAGAACAUUGAUCAUUAUAUUAAAUGUACAUACAGUCGAACUAAUCUUCAUCCUAAACAUUUCAGCAUACACAAUCCAGGCCAAAUGGGUCCUAUUCAAUUUAUUAAAAAGACUCAAUAAAUCAUUACAAGUUUCAAUCUUGGGCAAAAUUCCAUUCUGUUUCAUUAAAUAAAAGCACUUUAACGCCUCCUUGCCUUCUUCUGUUUCAUUAAAUAAAAGCAUUCAGCAUACACAAUCCAGGCCAAAUGGGUCCUAUUCAAUUUAUUAAAAAGACUCAAUAAAUCAUUACAAGUUUCAAUCUUGGGCAAAAUUCCCUUCUGUUUCAUUAAAUAAAAGCACUUUAACGCCUCCUCGCUUUUCUUCAAUUCAGAGUACGCCCUUACAAGCAAAUCCAAGACAAUUGAGCUCUUUAUUUCCAGCUUCUCCCGAGCACCCACAAGCCCAUCAAGAAACUCCUUAUGCUUUGCAACGCGGGCACUGAUCACUUGCUUGAGAAGCUGUGUGGCCUCUUUAGGCGAGGGAAAACGAGAGAGUAUGCAAAUAACGAGGCUAUAACAGGUAAUGUCUAAGCAAUUAGGGCUGAUAUUUUCGAUGAAAGUGAGUACACGGUCCGGAGAUGAACGAAGGUUUGGGAGGGUGGUUGAAAUUAAGAUGGGGCUUAGUUCGCCUGAAAUCUGUUUGAUGAAAUGCCACUAAGAAGAAGUGACUAAAUCUUGCAGGGCAUUAGAGGUGAUGGUAAGUGUGGGAAGGGGAGAUGGGGCAGACUUUUUGGAUUUGGAUAGAGUAAGUGUAGACAAAUGCCGGAGUGGGAGUGAAGAAAGCUUGAAGCUUCUGAGAGCUUUGACACUUCUCAUCUCGCUGCUGCAGUCUGUAGGACAGAGAAGCUUUGCUCUUUAGCCAAAUACGGCCUAGAAGCGUUUUUGCGUCAUUUGCUGUCCUAUACUCCUCUUAUAUCAAUUUUAAUUUGUACCUCAUUCUUUUAUAUUCUUUUAAUUAACUUUACCUUACUCAAUUAUAAUACAAUAAAUCAUAGUAAGAAAUUACUUAUAUAACUCCUUAUUUUUGUGAGCUUAUUUGUAUUGUCGGACUCAA
rnacentral:lncRNA from 1 species